ACCCGCCCCUAGCCAGUACUCCCAUACACCUGGAUGAGGGUCACCUAUGGAGCAGCCAAGGGUAACAGCAGCUGCUGGCUAUCAGCCAGCUGCCCCUGCUCGGCACGCCUGUGUGUACACCAGCUGCUAUUGUGAGGAAAAUGUUUGGAAACUUUGUGAAUACAUCAGAAGUUAUGAUCAAUACCCUUUAGAAGAAUUUUAUGCUGUUUUCAUAUCCAAUGAGAGAAGGAUGAUACCGCUCUGGAAGCAGCGAUCAGGAUGUGGAGAUGAACCUGUAGUUUGGGGAGAAUACCAAGGGACCUUAACAGAAGGAAUGUGCGAGCUAUUCAUUGAAAAUUCCUUACCUGCCUGUGACCAGAAAGGUGACAGGCCUGCUUUUUCAAGGUCAGAGACCAAGACCAAAAGAACACUAAGGUCCAGAUCCUCAAAGGAUUACCAUGUUAUUUUACUUCAUGUUUCAAGUGGAGACCAGAACUUCAUUUAUGAUCUUGACACAGUGUUGCCAUUUCCAUGUCCAUUUGACACUUACACUGAGGAGGCCUUUAAAUCAGAUGAUAUUAUUCUUCCAGGAUUCAGAAGGAAGUUAAACACACCACCUGCUCUUCUAAUGAUGCUGACCUUAAAGAAAAAUCAGACUGAUUCGUGCAGAUUUGUAUCUGAAGACAUUUGCUUCUGACCGAUCCCACAUGAAAGAUGCCAAUGGACACUGGCAGAAGCCUCCUCCUUCCUACCCUUGCAUUGAAACUGCAGAAAUCUUCAAAUGGAAUCCAUGCAUACUCUUCCUCUGCUGAAAUCAAUCAGGUAGGUAUAUAGAUUUUAAAAUAAACCCAUUACAAGAAAAAUACUAAACUGAGAAUAGCAAAAUAUAAAUGACUCUUUACCCAUGAUCACAUUUAAAUAAGAGAAAAAUAGGUCCAUCAUAGUAGUUGAGAGAAUUUAACUAAAAAAACAAUUUGGCUAAAAUCAAGCAACAUUCCAAGCAUACAAUUAAAAUGAAAGAAAUUAGUUUUCCCUCCCAAAUUUCUCCUCUCUGUAAUUAACCCUGCCAGGGCAUCCCUGUUGGAGGGUUAAAAAUAUCAGUAAUCUAAAUGCUUCACAGUUAGGGUAAAACAGCCUGCUUUCUGCUCCUGUGGCUCAGCUUCUCUCAAUCCACACAGGGCCUGUGACCUUUUUUAAAGUAGCUACCUGACUGGUUGCCUUCAGGGAGUCUUGAGUCCAGCUACAUCAAUCCUAUUGAGCAUAUCCAAAACUAUCACACCCAAUUCCAGAAACUUCUGAGUGUUGAGUGCUAAUUGUACAUUUGCCUAGCAACAAUGACUCAUUCCUACCCACUCCCCAUAAAUCUCUUAACGAGAUAUCCCUAUGAAGCACAUGGGUUACAAAAGCACCCAACAUCUCCUUUAUAGCCUACAUCUAGGCUCCUUGGAAAAUCACAGUCUGUCUUUGUAAUUAGUAUAAGGAUCUACAGCACCUUGCAUCCAAUGCUUGUAAAUGCCUGGAAUAGCUUUAGCAUAGGGUUGUUAAAUCUGGAAUAAGCUCUUUAGUUCUGGUUCAGCUGAAUCAUUGCAAUCUACCCAGUAUGGACAGAAACCACAAGCACUGCAGCUGUUUCAGUUACUAAGUCCAUCCCACAGUGCAUGACCUAGUAUUUGGAAACUACCCAUAAUCCCCUACUCAUAGCAAGUGUGUCAGGCAUAAUGGACAAGUGCCUUAAGAGUCCCAGAAUGCACGGCAUGGCUGCAGUAAUAAAAUGUAUUGAGCGUGGCUCUACUAAAAUGGUUCUGUCAGAAGUGUUGCUAUGUGGAUACACAGAAACAAGCAAAUCAAACAGCCAUUUCAUUCAAUCAGUGUCUCAGCAACAGUUUCCAUCCUUAGGGCCUGGUCCUGCUCUUAAAUAGGAUUUGGUCCAGAAUGUAAACAUAAUUUGUCUUCUCUCACCCCUGCUUUCUUCAGAGCCACCCCCUGUGCUUGGAAGAGCCUUUCUACUUGCUUUCACCCCAGUCCCUUUUGAAAAACCAACUGGUUUGUCAGCAAUAACAUCUGCGCUCUGUUCUUAUGUGUUAACUCUCCUGUUCCACUUUAGGCUUUAGAACCUCAGAUGAAGGACUUUAUCUGGAUUAUGAUAGUAUCUUUUGCCUAGCAAAAGUUGUAACUUUUUAAAGUUGUAAGGCAUUAUGUAAACUAACAGGCCUGUAAUUUCCCAGAUCACUUUUAUUUCCCCUUCCUUAAAAAUAGGAACUACAUUUGUAAUUCUCCAGUCAUAGGGUAUGACCCCCGAGUUUACAGAUUCAUUAAAAUCCU